UUCUAUGAAAGGGUUGUUUAUCCUGCAUUUCUCUCGACUUUACCCUGGCCUAGAUGACACCUGUGAGUGGGGAGGGAAUGAUCAUUAUUACAGGUACAGUUGGUGACUCUUGGGUUAUGUUGGUGACUUGGUUCUGCAGUUUGGGUCUCAGAUGAUUUGUGGUUCCGAAUUCAAGCCGAAGCUUUGAUCCUGUGCUCCGAGAAACACAGCCAUCCAGUCGUGUUAGCAUCAUUUGCAUCAUAGCAUG
rnacentral:lncRNA from 1 species